rnacentral:sRNA from 1 species
GACCCAUCCCUCCAGGGAUGCAAGGCCGGACGGACAGCCGGGUCAAAUGCCGA